GUCUCUCCCUAGAUUGUAUACACAAGAUGGCCUGAAAUGGACCAUGCUUCAGGAGUGGUGUAAACAUCUGUAGAGAUCAUUACCCAUGGACUGAUCACCAGUUCCUAGGCUCCUUGGGAUUGAGGAAUAGCUAUGGCAACCCUUUCUCUUGGCAUCACUAGUGAAGUCUACAAGGGUUUUCUUUCUAUUGCAAUUUGAUUCUCCAGAUGGGUCCCCACCCUGAUUCAGAGGGUUCCCUCCAGUGUCUGUAGGCUUGCAUUCCCUUAGGAAAUCCUUUGGAGAAGCCCUUCUUCUGGAAACAGUGAACUUGACCAGGAGAUUGGGUGACAUCCAGGUUUCUGAGGAAAACCCAGGAUCUAUCAGCCUUGAAGAGAUAACUCUCCACCUGAAGGUACCACAAGACUCUUUGUUGGUUUUUCUGAACCUUUGGUAGAACGUUCCUGCCCCAAAUGCAAGAAACGGUGGUUUAUAUCAUUAUCGACUUAUGGGGAUGCUACUCUUCAGUAUUUCUUUGCUCCACUUCUCUGCUGGCCAAAAUCAGAAGGCUGAAUUAUUGUGAAGUAUUAUUCAGGUCAGAGAAGAGGAACUCAUCUUCAGUGACAUUGAUCUCCUGCCUUGUGCGUAGUGAGUUCAAGGUGACUGCAUGGCUCUCCUCCUUCCUACAAUAGUCUUACAACUACAACCUGAGGCAGACAAACAUUAAGCACAGUGAUUGGUCCAAGAUUCCUCCUUCAACCAUGUGAAUUCAUGCUGGCAAACAGGAAGGAAGGAAAGGCAAAUGAGCCCCAAUGCAAUCCAGCCCAAUGCAGGUUUUGGAUGGAAGAAAAUGUUCUGCAACCGUUUCCCUUUAUUCCCAACUCUUCCAUGAAAACAAUGCACGGCAUCCUGUAAACGUCAACCAAUUCAGUAGCUAUGGAUGAAGAGACAAAAAUCAUUCCACUAGACAGACUUAAGGAAAGUGACAUUUUCAUGCCUCCCAAGAUUCGUGUGAGAAGAAAUGCACCUUUCCUCAAGAAUUUACACAUAUUCAAAGCUUACAGAACACAUUUGAGAAAUAAAGUAUGCACAAAAACACUCAUUUCAAAAUGCCAACAGGAGAAAUGCAUAAACAUUUGUAUAAAUCUCCAUGCAUAAAGAAAAAGACAGGCUUAUGAUAAAAGUCUUAUAAC